AGCAGGUGCAGGCCAAGCACAGAGACGGCGGAGUCGGGCAGGACGGCGGCGUUCUCCGAGGCGAGUAGCAGACAGAGAAAAGCAGGCGUUAAGCCCUGAACCUGGAGACACUGCCAGACCUAGGAAGCAGAAACAGGAAGGAGAGCCCUCAAGGGGACAGCCCGAUUGGAGAGCAGUGGGGAGAAUUGAGAAGCAGGUCCCCCAGGGCCACACCAAGCCUGCUGCUGUCAGAGGGCCGGGCCUGGGUUUGCCCCGUGGAGACGUGGAGACGAAACAAGCUCAACUACAGCAUUUCAAAGGCGCCUGGAAUUUCUGGUCUCUGUUUUGGAACACUCCUCCUUGCGGGCUCAAUAUGCUGAAUCCUGAAGACACAAGAUGCCAGGACCCAGGGCUAAUGGGACACAGAAGACAAGGGCUGCCCGAAUAAAUACCACCACCGUUCAAAAAAGAAAAAAAAAAAAAAGAUUCUCUCUCUCUCUCUCCCUUUGCCCCCCCCCACUCUCUCUUGAAAUGAAAGUAAUAAAAUAAUAAAAAUAAAUAAAGAAGAGUCA
rnacentral:lncRNA from 1 species